rnacentral:rRNA from 1 species
UGACCCCAUGCCGAACUCAGAAGUGAAACGUCGUAGCGCCGAUGGUAGUGUGGGGUCUCCCCAUGUGAGAGUAGGGAAUCGCCAGGC